rnacentral:rRNA from 1 species
UACGUAGGAUCCAAGCGUUGUCCGGAUUUACUGGGUGUAAAGGGUGCGUAGGCGGACUUGUGCGUCAAGGGUUAAAUCCCACGGCUUAACCGUGGACCUGCCCUUGAUACGGCAAGCCUUGAAUACGGGAGAGGAAGGUAGAAUUCUUGGUGUAGCGGUGAAAUGCGUAGAUAUCAAGAGGAAUACCAGUGGCGAAGGCGGCCUUCUGGCCCGUUAUUGACGCUGAGGCACGAAAGCGUGGGGAGCGAACAGG